AAAACAGUUUUGUGUGCGAUGAAUAUGAUUUUUGUAUAAUUAAAUGAAUGGACGCCAUUGUUUAUACAUGUAUACAUUAAACAUUCGGUCUUGCAAGUGAGCUGUCAAUCCAUUUUAAGACGGAAGUUGUGUUAGGAGAUUUAAUUUAUUCUAUGCACAUUCGCUUGCAGUAGUGUACAACUUGGAAGCAACUAUAUUUUGGGCAGUUUAAAGCAUUGACGAAAACAACAACAACUCCUUAUUAAGUCAUAAUCGGAGGAAAUGGCACAUACUUAGAGUGCAUAAUAUAGCAUGCAAUGUCUUAUCACACAAAGAAUUCUGAGAAUAUGUCAAAGCAUUGGCCGAUGGCAUAUUACAACAAGUACGGAAGACCAGAAAGGACAUACUAUGACACCGGAUAUUACGACGGUUACAUCCCACCAUAUCCGUACAGCCUCGCAUAUGACGUGCCCGGUUUGCGCUAUUCCCGGUCGCUCUAUGGCCGUGGUGCAAUGUCCGAAUAUGGCUACAGAUCCCCGUACACCUAUCGCAGCGAGCUGUUCGGUUCCAGAUAUGCGUCGUACCCUACGGAGGACGAAUGUGACCUUUACUACCCACGAUUUAGCCGUUACAGAUAUUGGUACUAGCCUUCGAGAAAAGAUGACCAGCUCGUUUUGGAAUGAAAAAAAUACAGUUUCGUUUUUCAAAGUACUCUCUUAGAUUCUUAAUAUUUAAGAUCACCGAUGGUUUAUCAUUUGUAAUAGGUAAAAUGCAAAUAAAUGUCAUCAUCGGACCAUGAAGACUUUUCAACGCGAACCUGCUUGUUAUUCGACUGUUAGCUCACAUGAGAACGAAGUGGUCAUUGUUAGCUAUUUUGGAAGGUGGCCCUCUGGCGUCAGUUAUUUUCUUCCAACGGCAUCUCAUCAUUUACCGGAGAAUUAUCAAGAAACUUUACAGAAAUUGUCAUAGAGUGACACUUUUUGUUGUACAUAUUUUUUAGGACCCGAAUCCACCCGAUGUUCUUGGACGUAAAAUAGGAGAAUACAAGUAGAACCAAAAACCAAAACACAUAUGUUCAGUGUCUUAACAUAUACAGGCUACACAUGUUUUUGUCAUUCAUACAUUGUUCUAAAUGCAGAAUCGCUAGUUGGAGGUGUUUGAUUCUAGACGAUAUUUAACUGUAUAAUUCUAUACAAAAACGACAGUUAAAAGAAUAUUCUCUCUUAUUAGACAUAGGGGAAAUCACGUGACAAACAAGAUGGCGACGUUCAUGCCGAGACAUGUAUUUUUCGCCAUUUCUUACCCUGUAUUACUUGUAUUAAUUGUUUCAAUAUUCGCUCUUUAUCUCGACUUAACUCGCUGCGAAUUUUUCCUUAGCGGGAGCUGUAAUAGUGUGACCCUCUAAGAAAUUUCGCAUCGAGUAAAAUCGAGAUAUAGAUCGAAUAUUAAUACGAUAUAAACGCUUAUCGCUUUCUUGUCGAUAUGGCUGGUAAGUGAGCGUCAUUUAAACAAUUUAUUAAAGAAAUCAAGGGUAUAACACGGCGAAAAAUGCUGUCUCGCCUGGGACUUUCUGUUAGACGUAAGUAUAAGUAUUGGUUGGUGAACUCGGGUCCUGCUCUGCUGCUAGUAGUCCUCUACUUACAUUAUCAAAGUCAUGCCCUUGGGGAAAAAACUGGUCACGCCUUAGAGGUCAAAUGCUUUAUAAAGACGUUUGUAUGAAAUAACUUACACAUUUUAUCAGGUGUGUGGCAUUAGAUUGUUUUCCUCUAUGAAGAUAAUUAAAAUAAUUCCCAUUUGUUUGAAACUGGUAAUGCCCUAUUACAUAUGUGAGCGAUCUAGUUGCUUACUUCAUAAGUUCAUCGCCAUUUACUUUGGCAAAUAAUCAACACUGUGCAGAAAUCAUGUAAUGGUAAAUAGCAAUACUAAAACCAUCAUUCACUCGUGUAUGCUUGUUGUUUUUGCUAGGUUCAUUAUCCUUCAACGGAAGUGAAUUGUUCGUAUCGUUUUGUUGUAAUAAAAUAACACUGAAACCAUCACUUUAUCGUCUUUUUCCCAGUUCAUAAUUUUUCAAGGAUCUAUUGAUUGUUCAGAUUUUUUUUUCUUGCUUUAAACCUAUUUAUUUUAGCUCAAUUGCAUAGAAAGCCUCAGGCUUUUUUGAAAACGCUCUCGAGUUCGUUUUCUUGUACUAGAACCUGUACUUGGUGCCUAUGUGGGAGAUCUAAAGAACGCUCCCACAGUGGGAACCCGUGUUCUCCCGGUCGCUAGGCGGACGCCAUAUCCAUGAAACCACGACGAUCUGUUGUAUUGAAAGUUGUCGAGCAUCGCGUGAUUGUUAAGACUGCAAUUAUAAACAAGCUUAGCAAGAAUUUUUACAAGUUUCAGUUUUGCUUUCUUUAAAUUAUAACAUUUCUUAAGCCUGUUUUUGCUCAUUUUAUACAUUUAGAAUCCUCUGUUCUGUUCGGGUUGGUUUUAAGGGUAAUAUCUUUUAAAGGCGAGUUCUGAUCGUUUAGUUAGAAGACAUACUAUAUGACCAUUGUUGAAACACAUAUUAAAAUAAUAAUUUGUACCUUUGAAACAUUCCCCCACUUUUUGUUUUAUCUGAUUUCUGAUACAUGUAUUGUGCAUUUUAACGCGUGUUUGGUAUUUGGUAACAUAAGUCCAAUGUUGAUAUGACUUUGAAUCCAAAGUCGUAGUCACAGGAGUAAAUCAGAAAUUUCAACUGCAUACGCGGCACAAACAGCAAAUGCCAUUUUGUUUCCCCGAUGUAUGAUAGUGUUUAAUAUAUGAGCCGUGCUCUGUGAA